rnacentral:snoRNA from 13 species
UCCAGCGGCUGUCAGCUGUCCAGGUGGGCGCGGUACCUGCGAUAGCGUUACACCGCUGGGACAUCAGGGCGCCGUCCAGACGACCCUCCGCCUCCGCCGCUGUUUUAGCGUCGGGUCCGGCUGGGCCCGGGCGGCGCUUUGCGUUCCCGAGAGUGGACGGACUCUUGCCCCGUAGAGUCGGCCCUAGAUUGGAUGCAAACAUC